UACGUAGGGUGCAAGCGUUAAUCGGAAUUACUGGGCGUAAAGCGUGCGCAGGCGGUUAUGUAAGACAGGGGUGAAAUCCCCGGGCUUAACCUGGGAACUGCAUUUGUGACUGCAUAGCUAGAGUACGGCAGAGGGGGAUGGAAUUCCGCGUGUAGCAGUGAAAUGCGUAGAUAUGCGGAGGAACACCGAUGGCGAAGGCAAUCCCCUGGGCCUGUACUGACGCUCAUGCACGAAAGCGUGGGGAGCAAACAGG
rnacentral:rRNA from 1 species